rnacentral:rRNA from 1 species
AUUGAACGCUGGCGGCAUGCCUUACACAUGCAAGUCGAACGGCAGCACGGGAGCAAUCCUGGUGGCGAGUGGCGAACGGGUGAGUAAUACAUCGGAACGUGCCCAGUCGUGGGGGAUAACGUAGCGAAAGCUACGCUAAUACCGCAUACGAUCUGUGGAUGAAAGCGGGGGACCGUAAGGCCUCGCGCGAUUGGAGCGGCCGAUGUCAGAUUCGGGGGUUGGUGGGGUAAAGGCCUACCAAGCCGACGAUCUGUAGCUGGUCUGAGAGGACGACAAGCCACACUGGGACUGAGACACGGCCCAGACUCCUACGGGAGGCAGCAGUGGGGAAUUUUGGACAAUGGGCGCAAGCCUGAUCCAGCAAUGCCGCGUGCAGGAUGAAGGCCUUCGGGUUGUAAACUGCUUUUGUACGGAACGAAACGGCUCUUUCUAAUAAAGAGGGCUAAUGACGGUACCGUAAGAAUAAGCACCGGCUAACUACGUGCCAGCCGCCGCCGUAACAC